rnacentral:rRNA from 1 species
UAAUUCUGCUCUAUGAUAUUUAAAUGGCUGCAGUAUAUUAACUGUACAAAGGUAGCAUAAUAAUUAGUCUUUUAAUUGAGGGCUUGUAUGAAUGAAUAAAUGAAGAAUUUAUUAUAAUUAAUAAUAUAAUUUUAAUUUAAUUUUUUGGUAAAAAAGCUAAAUUUAAAGUUUGGGACGAAAAGACCCUAAGAACUAUUUUUUUAUUGUUAUUUAAUUUUUAUUUUAAAUUAAUUAAUUUGUGAAAUUUUAUUGGGGUGAUAAUUAAAUUAAAACUUUAUUUUUAUAAUUCUUAAAUUAGAGAUGAAAAUUGAUUCAAUUAUUUGAUUAUAAGAAAAAGUUACCUUAGGGAUAACAGCGUAAUUUAAAUGGGGAGUUCUAAUUUAUAUUUAAGAUUGCGACCUCGAUGUUGAAUUAAGAUUAAUUUUAGGGGUAGUAUUUUAUAAUUUAAGUC